rnacentral:rRNA from 1 species
GACGAACGCUGGCGGCGUGCCUAAUACAUGCAAGUAGAACGCACAGUUUAUACCGUAGCUUGCUACACCAUAGACUGUGAGUUGCGAACGGGUGAGUAACGCGUAGGUAACCUGCCUGGUAGCGGGGGAUAACUAUUGGAAACGAUAGCUAAUACCGCAUAAUAUUGAUUAUUGCAUGAUAAUUGAUUGAAAGAUGCUAUUGCAUCACUACCAGCUGGACCUGCGUUGUAUUAGCUAGUAGGUGAGGUAACGGCUCACCUAAGCGACGAUACAUAGCCGACCUGGGAGGGUGAACGGCCAAACUUGGACUGAGACACGGCCCAGACUCCUACGGGAAGCAGCAGUAGGGAAUCUUCGGCAAUGGACGAAAGUCUGACCGAACAACGCCGCGUGAGUGAAGGAGGUUUUCGGAUCGUAAAGCUCCGUUGUAAGAGAAGAACGGGUGUUAGAGUGGAAAGUUCACACUGUGACGGUAUCUUACCAGAAAGGGACGGCUAACUACGUG